UUUAAAAUCGUAAAGUGACAGGCAUGGAAACGGUAGUUGUUGUUUGCUACUGUUUUGAAAAAAAAAACGACCCAUGGAAACCCCAGGAGUUCAUGGUAUAAAAAUGCUAGACGUCCAUAAACAUCACAGCACCUGAGGAAGUCGGCUUAAAAGUUGUUAAGUUACUUUAAUAACAAAAAUGCAGAUGACCUGGAAUCUGAUUGGUUUGUUGGUAUUCGCCACUCUUUUUAAUACCGGAGAGUGUGCAAUUACUGGUUGUGGACAUUACCAAGUAUUGCUACCGCUGAUGGGGGUAGUGGCACUUUGCUGCAAAAAUUGACCAUGGCUUAACUGCUGGCGAUGCUACUGGUAUUACCAUAACGGCUACAUCAGAUGAUGGAGGUGGUGUAACAAGUUACACGAAAGAUUCGCAAGAUCCAAGCGAUGUAGUGUUUGACAUUGACAACUCUGGUGUUGUUACAAUUACAUCCGGCACAGUGGCCUACGCAACUACGGCUGUUUACACAUUCGUCAUUUCAGCUAACGAUGCAGGUGGAACUGCCUCGUCUGCGACUGUGACACUCUCCGUAAACGACCUUCCAGCGUUCUCCGCAACUCAGUAUAGCCUCACAAUCGACGAUGCAACGGCUUCAGGUACUACAUUGGACAACCUUAACGGCUACAGACGUAGUAAACGGUGGAAGUUUGACAUAUUCAAUUGCAAGUGGAAACACCAACACUGACUUGGGCAAUUAGCAGCGCUGGUGUAAUUACUACAGCAAAUACAUUAGCGGCUUCUACAACCGGAGGAUAUUCCCUGGUUCUCAACGCUGCAGACAGUUCUCUGACUGGAAGUGCAACGGUUUGGAUCGUUGUUACUUCAUGUAGCGGAGCAACCGCAGUCUUGGCUGGCUUCAUGACAUUGUUGAUGGCUUUAAUAGCGCAUAUGUAUUAACUGAUGAUGCAUUUCAAAAUGACAUUAUUGCUACCGCUCCUUCAUCUUUUCAAAGUGGAAACUGUAUAAUUAAUAUCUAAAAUAUUUACUAAACGUGUAAGAACACUCUUGAUUUAGUAAAUAUAAUUAAUUAUGACUCCUUAUAUAAAUCACAGGUCCAUAGUGUGUGCAACUGGUGGAUCUAAAGUUCAACAAUAGACUUUGCUCGGCUAAAGUCAAAACUUGAAGAAUGAAAUACUAAAAUAUAUUUCUGACGUCGUUUAAUAGAACGCUUAUUAAAUUGCUCCGGAACUGGCAUCAUUUUUGACUUCAGACACAAGAAAGCCCUGAAAUAAAUUCAUAUCAUUGCAAUAGAAACAAGAAUACUGCAACAUUCCGAAAAUUGUUUCUAUCACUGUCUUAAAAGCAAAUGCAAAUGUCGGUAAAAGGUGAUGAAGUUGAGCGAAGCAUUUUGUCAUUGUAACAAUAUUGACCAUGUACGAAAUGAGUUAUUUAUUUUUUUAUCAAACAGCAGUCAUUUAUACUCACCGGACAUCUAGAAAGAUCUUACAAUCAUGUAAACGAUGUGAUAAUUGAUAACUUUAACAGACCUGGUGUCACCUAUUAAUGCAGUGCUAUUUUAUGUAGAAUGUUUAAUAUAUUGAACAAUGAAAUAAUGCAUCAAUGUACGAAAGCUGGAACCAAUUAGUAAAAUAAUUACAACAUUCCAUCGUUGUAUUAUUUAGAUUUCAUCUAUACAAUAGUUAGAUUUCAUCUAUACAAACUUUCUAACUGAAUCAAUCAGUAGGUGAUGACUACCUAUUUUGUAACUUCACAUGUAUUGUUUUUUACUUUUCUAACUUGACUUUUCCUCAGAAUGGUUCAUUAAUGAAAUGGAAUGUCCCAUUGAAAUAUGAAUCUUUCAAAAUUUUUACUUGCUUAAAUUAUUUUUGUGUGUAUUUACUCAAUAUCCGACUAACUCAAAAUAAAUAUUUAAAAUGACAGCGAAUAAAUAAACUUUUGCAAUAUCAAGUUAUUAAUUUUCUCAAAUUUGAACUUUCAGUCAUUUGUUUUGCGCUUACAUCAGAAAGAUAGAAAUUCUUGAAAUAGUGUUUACUUAUACAAAUAGCAAUGGUGCUGAGAUCAAUUGUGGACAUUAUGUACGCAUAUUUAUAUUCCCAUCAAAAGGAAUCUGCUUUGUUUGUAUCUUUCUUUCUAUGCCUUACUUUGCACUUGUAAUUUUCUUCGUUUUUUUUUUCAAUAAACAUCUUCUAAAACCA
rnacentral:lncRNA from 1 species